rnacentral:rRNA from 1 species
GAUGAACGCUGGCGGCGUGCUUAACACAUGCAAGUCGAACGGUGAAGGCGGAGCUUGCUCUGCUGGAUCAGUGGCGAACGGGUGAGUAACACGUGAGCAAUCUGCCCCUGACUCUGGGAUAAGCGCUGGAAACGGCGUCUAAUACUGGAUACGAGCUGCGAAGGCAUCUUCAGCAGCUGGGAAGAAUUUCGGUCAGGGAUGAGCUCGCGGCCUAUCAGCUUGUUGGUGAGGUAAUGGCUCACCAAGGCGUCGACGGGUAGCCGGCCUGAGAGGGUGACCGGCCACACUGGGACUGAGACACGGCCCAGACUCCUACGGGAGGCAGCAGUGGGGAAUAUUGCACAAUGGGCGAAAGCCUGAUGCAGCAACGCCGCGUGAGGGGCGACGGCCUUCGGGUUGUAAACCUCUUUUAGCAGGGAAGAAGCGAAAGUGACGGUACCUGCAGAAAAAGCGCCGGCUAACUACGUG